rnacentral:rRNA from 1 species
AUUGAACGCUGGCGGCAGGCCUAACACAUGCAAGUCGAGCGGAUGAAGGGAGCUUGCUCCUGGAUUCAGCGGCGGACGGGUGAGUAAUGCCUAGGAAUCUGCCUGGUAGUGGGGGAUAACGUCCGGAAACGGGCGCUAAUACCGCAUACGUCCUGAGGGAGAAAGUGGGGGAUCUUCGGACCUCACGCUAUCAGAUGAGCCUAGGUCGGAUUAGCUAGUUGGUGGGGUAAAGGCCUACCAAGGCGACCAUCCGUAACUGGUCUGAGAGGAUGAUCAGUCACACUGGAACUGAGACACGGUCCAGACUCCUACGGGAGGCAGCAGUGGGGAAUAUUGGACAAUGGGCGAAAGCCUGAUCCAGCCAUGCCGCGUGUGUGAAGAAGGUCCUCGGAUUGUAAAGCACUUUAAGUUGGGAGGAAGGGCAGUAAGUUAAUACCUUGCUGUUUUGACGUUACCAACAGAAUAAGCACCGGCUAACUUCGUG